rnacentral:rRNA from 1 species
UACGGGGGGGGUAAGCGUUGUUCGGAAUUACUGAGCGUAAAGGGCUCGUAGGCGGCCAACUAAGUCGGACGUGAAAUCCCUCAGCUUAACUGGGGAACUGCGUCCGAUACUGGAUGGCUUGGAUUUGGGAGAGGGAUGUGGAAUUCCUGGUGUAGCGGUGAAAUGCGCAGAUAUCAGGAAGAACACCUAUGGCGAAGGCAGCACUCUGGGACGGUACUGACGCUGAGACGCGAAAGCGUGGGGAGCGAACAGG